rnacentral:rRNA from 1 species
UAAUACGUAGGUGGCAAGCGUUGUCCGGAUUUAUUGGGCGUAAAGCGCGCGCAGGCGGUCCGUUUAGUCCGAGGUGAAAUCUCCCGGCUCAACUGGGAGGGGUCUUCGGAUACUGGCGGACUCGAGGAGAGCAGAGGUGAGUGGAAUUCUGGGUGUAGUGGUGAAAUGCGUAGAUAUCCAGAGGAACACCAGUGGCGAAGGCGGCUCACUGGGCUCCACCUGACGCUGAGGCGCGAAAGCGUGGGGAGCGAACCGGAUUAGAUACCCGGGUAGUCCACGCUGUAAACGAUGGACACUAGGUGUGGGGGGUAUUGACCCCCUCUGCGCCGAAGCUAACGCAUUAAGUGUCCCGCCUGGGGAGUACGGCCGCAAGGCUA